AGCUAAUCUGCCCUACACUAGAGGACAACAGUUGGAAACGACUGCUAAUACUCUAUACUCCUCUUUAACAUAAGUUAGAUAGGGAAAGUUUUUCGGUGUAGGAUGAGGCUAUAUUGUAUCAGCUAGUUGGUGAGGUAAUGGCUCACCAAGGCUAUGACGCAUAACUGGUCUGAGAGGAUGAUCAGUCACACUGGAACUGAGACACGGUCCAGACUCCUACGGGAGGCAGCAGUAGGGAAUAUUGCUCAAUGGGGGAAACCCUGAAGCAGCAACGCCGCGUGGAGGAUGACACUUUUCGGAGCGUAAACUCCUUUUGUUAGGGAAGAACAAUGACGGUACCUAACGAAUAAGCACCGGCUAACUCCGUGCCAGCAGCCGCGGUAAUACGGAGGGUGCAAGCGUUACUCGGAAUCACUGGGCGUAAAGGACGCGUAGGCGGAUUAUCAAGUCUCUUGUGAAAUCCUAUGGCUUAACCAUAGAACUGCUUGGGAAACUGAUAAUCUAGAGUGAGGGAGAGGCAGAUGGAAUUGGUGGUGUAGGGGUAAAAUCCGUAGAGAUCACCAGGAAUACCCAUUGCGAAGGCGAUCUGCUGGAACUCAACUGACGCUAAUGCGUGAAAGCGUGGGGAGCAAACAGGAUUAGAUACCCUGGUAGUCCACGCCCUAAACGAUGUAUACUAGUUGUUGCUAAGCUAGUCUUGGCAGUAAUGCACCUAACGGAUUAAGUAUACCGCCUGGGGAGUACGGUCGCAAGAUUAAAACUCAAAGGAAUAGACGGGGACCCGCACAAGCGGUGGAGCAUGUGGUUUAAUUCGAAGAUACGCGAAGAACCUUACCCGGACUUGAUAUCUAACAAAUCAUCUAGAGAUAGAAGAGUGUCUGCUCGCAGAAAUGUUAAGACAGGUGCUGCACGGCUGUCGUCAGCUCGUGUCGUGAGAUGUUGGGUUAAGUCCCGCAACGAGCGCAACCCACGUCAUUAGUUGCUAACAGUUCGGCUGAGCACUCUAAUGAGACUGCCUUCGUAAGGAGGAGGAAGGUGUGGACGACGUCAAGUCAUCAUGGCCCUUAUGUCCGGGGCGACACACGUGCUACAAUGGCAUAUACAAUGAGAAGCAAUAUCGCGAGAUGGAGCAAAUCUAUAAAAUAUGUCCCAGU
rnacentral:rRNA from 1 species